rnacentral:rRNA from 1 species
CCCUUAGAUGUUCUGGGCUGCACGCGUGCUACAAUGGCGUUUCCAGCAAGUCUGCGAACCCGAGAGGGCCAGCGGAUCUUCGAAUUGGCGUCGUGAUCGGGACAGUCGAUUGCACUUAUUUGACUCAAACGAGGAAUUCCUUGUAAUCGCGAUUCAUCAUAUCGCGCUGAAUACGUCCCUGCCCUUUGUACACACCGCCCGUCGCUCCUACCGAUUGAGCGAUCCGGUAAAUGUUUUGGAUUGGUGCCGGGGCGGCUAGCUGCCGGUCGCUACGAAAUUUUGUGAACCUUAUCGCUUAGAGGAAGGAAAAGUCGUAACA